rnacentral:rRNA from 1 species
UACAGAGGGGGCAAGCGUUGUUCGGAAUUACUGGGCGUAAAGGGCGCGUAGGCGGCCUACUAAGUCGAACGUGAAAUCCCCGGGCUCAACCCGGGAACUGCGUCCGAUACUGGUGGGCUUGAAUUCGGGAGAGGGAUGUGGAAUUCCAGGUGUAGCGGUGAAAUGCGUAGAUAUCUGGAGGAACACCGGUGGCGAAGGCGGAUCUCUAGGCCGAUACUGACGCUGAGGAGCGAAAGCGUGGGGAGCGAACAGG